CCUACGGGAGGCAGCAGUGAGGAAUAUUGGUCAAUGGCCGGAAGGCUGAACCAGCCAAGCCGCGUGAGGGAGGAAGGCGCAGAGCGUCGCAGACCUCUUUUGCCGGGGGACAAAAGGCCGGACGGGUCCGGUUCUGAGGGUACCCGGAGAAAAAGCAUCGGCUAACUCCGUGCCAGCAGCCGCGGUAAUACGGAGGGUGCGAGCGUUAAUCGGAAUUACUGGGCGUAAAGCGCUCGUAGGCGGUAUGUCAAGUCAAGGGUGAAAUCCCCGCGCUCAACGUGGGAACUGCCUUUGAAUCUGGCAAACUGGAGUGUGUGAGAGGAUAGUAGGAUUGCAGGUGUAAGAGUGAAAUCCGUAGAUAUCUGGAGGAACAUCAGAGGGGAAGGCGACUAUCUGGCACAUAACUGGCGGUGGGGGGCGAAAGCGUGGGUAGCAAACAGGAUUAGAUACCCUAGUAGUC
rnacentral:rRNA from 1 species